rnacentral:lncRNA from 1 species
CAACAUGUACUGUACAGAAUAGCAUCCGAAGAGUGGCUUUCUUGCCAACGUAUAUGGACUUGUUCUCACAUGGUUAUGUCUUUGGCAUGUGUUACACUAUAACCACACGGCACUGACACUCUUUCAAGUUUAAGCUUCAACCAAAAAGUUCCAGAGAAAGUCUUUCAGCAUGGAAGGUAAAAAGUGAAACUUCAUGUCUACAAGAUUAGAAGAGAAGCUUGAACCCUCACAAAUGGAAGCAUCUAGAGAUUCUAAACAAGCAGAAGAAGAAUUUGAAAAGCUAAAGAUGACUCAAGAAGAAGAAGAAGAAGAAGAAGAGGUUGUUGAAGAGUGCAAAACACCAACGAGGUUAAUGAACAAGAUUACUAGCAUUCAAACAUUCCCACCUACCCCAAGAAAGAAAAGAAAGUUUUCUUUACUCAUGAAAAGAUCAUCAGCAUCUAAUCUUAGCUUAUUCGUGAGGGAUGAGGAGGUAGAACCUUUCUUUCAAUCCAUGUUUGAGCUUGCUAGGGUUCACAAGAGAUGUAGAAGCAUGUGAAUGUCCAUGUUUAACAUUCAAAUAAAUUAAUCAUCCUAUUUUCUUCGUAUUUCAAACAAACAGUAGUAGUUU